rnacentral:rRNA from 1 species
UACGGAGGGUGCAAGCGUUAUCCGGAUUCACUGGGUUUAAAGGGUGCGUAGGUGGGUUGCCAAGUCCGUGGUGAAAUCUCCGAGCUUAACUCGGAAACUGCCGUGGAUACUGGUAAUCUUGAAUAUCGUGGAGGUAAGCGGAAUAUGUCAUGUAGCGGUGAAAUGCUUAGAUAUGACAUAGAACACCGAUAGCGAAGGCAGCUUGCUACACGAUUAUUGACGCUGAGGCACGAAAAGCGUGGGGGAGCAAAACAGG